UAUGAUGUUUGAAUUAUUGAACUUCAAGCCAUAAUCCUGUCACCUUAGGUCGAUCGGUACCUCAGUUUGAUAUUUAAAACUAUUAAAUUCAGUUCCUAAACUUUGUCUAGGUCACACCCAGCAAGGGUACUCCUGGGCCAUUAGCUCAGGUGGUUAGAGCGCACCCCUGAUAAGGGUGAGGUCCCUGGUUCAAGUCCAGGAUGGCCCAUUCGGUGUUGGGGGUAUAGCUCAGUUGGUAGAGCGCCUGCUUUGCAAGCAGGAUGUCAGCGGUUCGAGUCCGCUUACCUCCACUGAUCGACCUUCUGAAAUCGAAGCCAAUGGAGACUUUUCUUCGAUGUGAUCUAGAAUUUGUUCUUAAAGAUAUGAACCUAGCUUCUUAUCAUCCAAUCAAAAUUAAUCUGUAGUUUGGUUGAUAUGACGCUGGGCUCUACUGCAAUUUAGGUUGCAGAGAAGUUCAGUAGAACCUUGACAACUGCAUAGGUGAGUCUGGAAAAAAUAAAGCAUCUCAUGGAUGAAUUAUUUUCUCAGAUUGGAUUUUAGUGUUUUGACUUGUCAGAACAUUCUUAUUUCAGAUGAGAUUAUAAUUAUUAA
rnacentral:tRNA from 1 species